GCGGUGGUCCCACCUGACCCCAUGCCGAACUCAGAAGUGAAACGCCGUAGCGCCGAUGGUAGUGUGGGGUCUCCCCAUGUGAGAGUAGGGAACUGCCAGGC
rnacentral:rRNA from 19 species